rnacentral:misc_RNA from 1 species
UGUUAGUUAUUUUAUAUCAUUUAAUGCAAUAUUAAUUAAAUUAAUAUAAGGAAAAAAUUUUAAUAUAUUUUAGUACAUUUACAAAAUGUAGGUGUAGUUGGACUGUAAUUAAGCUUCUAGGCUUCUUUAUUCCACCAAAUUUUGAGUCCCCAUGCCAGCAAGUUGAAAUUUUUUUAUUGAAUGGCCUGACAACCGGUUUAAACCCAGCUGGAUUUACCAGUUUGACUGGUUGCCUAACCUGUUCAAUCUGAUUCACACUAGGUUUUCCAAAAUAAGGGUUUAUGAUCAAACUAGACCGGACUAAGGUUCGGUUCCCCAUUAAACCGAUGUGUGUGUGUGUAUUGAGGGAGUACAUUUACAAAAUGUAGGUGUAGUUGGACUGUAAUUAAGCUUCUAGGCUUCUUUAUUCCACCAAAUUUUGAGUCCCCAUGCCAGCAAGUUGAAAUUUUUUUAUUGAAUGGCCUGACAACCGGUUUAAACCCAGCUGGAUUUACCAGUUUGACUGGUUGCCUAACCUGUUCAAUCUGAUUCACACUAGGUUUUCCAAAAUAAGGGUUUAUGAUCAA